CCUACGGGAGGCAGCAGUGAGGAAUAUUGGUCAAUGGGCGCGAGCCUGAACCAGCCAAGUCGCGUGAGGGAAGACGAUCCUAUGGAUUGUAAACCUCUUUUGUCGGGGAGCAAAAGACGCCACGCGUCGCGUUCCGAGAGUACCCGAAGAAAAAGCAUCGGCUAACUCCGCGCCAGCAGCCGCGGUAAUACGGAGGAUGCGAGCGUUAUCCGGGUUUAUUGGGUUUAAGGGGUGCGCAGGCGGAAGAGCAAGUCAGCGGUAAAAUUGAGAGGCUCAACCUCUUCGAGCCGUUGAAACUGGUUUUCUUGAGUGAGUGAGAAGGAUGCGGAAUGCGUGGUGUAGCGGUGAAAUGCAUAGAUAUAACGCAGAACUCCGGUUGCGAAGGCAGCAUACCGGCGCUCAACUGACGCUCAUGCACGAAAGUGUGGGUAGCGAACAGGAUUAGAUACCCGUGUAGUC
rnacentral:rRNA from 1 species